GGGCCAAUCCGGUGAUCGAAACCGGCGCCUCUCGCAACCAAAGCGAGAAUCAUACCAUUAGACCACUUGGUC
rnacentral:tRNA from 1 species